AAACUUGAGCCAAUACCGGAUAAGCCCGAGAGGGGAAAGAUUUAUNGCCGAAGGAUUGGCCCGCGUCCGAUUAGCUAGUUGGUGAGGUAACAGCUCACCAAGGCGACGAUCGGUAGCUGGUCUGAGAGGAUGAUCAGCCACACUGGGACUGAGACACGGCCCAGACUCUUACGGGAGGCAGCAGUGGGGAAUAUUGGACAAUGGGCGCAAGCCUGAUCCAGCCAUGCCGCGUGAGUGAUGAAGGCCCUAGGGUUGUAAAGCUCUUUCGCCAGGGACGAUAAUGACGGUACCUGGAUAAGAAGCCCCGGCUAACUUC
rnacentral:rRNA from 1 species